AGGCACCUGCCGCUGGCCUCUGAGCGGCUGUGGAGCGGCGUUGGGCGCGCCCUGGGACCCUCACAGCGCUCACCGAAGGACACUUUCGGGCCCGGGUCCCGAGGCUCCGGCCGCAGACCCGAGGAGGAAAGGACCUAUUCUCCGUUCUUUUUCAGCAUCCCGGUCUUUCCCUCUUCUCUGCCCAGCAUGGCCCGAAACGACAGGAGAGCCUCUUCUGGAUCGGCCUUUCCAACCGCGGGCUGGAGGGAUUCUGCAUGAGGAUGGAGUCGCCGGUUUCCCGGGACCCACGCACAGCAGGCAUUUAGAGUUAGGCUGCUGCUCUUAUUUAAAGAGGGCUGAGAACACCCGCAAUCUGUUGGGUAGGCGUUCCUUUUCUCACUUUCCAGGCGAAGACUCACCCCUGCACAGAGACCGGGCCUGAAAAUCCAGGCCAUGACAAAGUCCACCAAACCACCGCUUCCCCUGGUUGCCGGCCUGUGAACAAAGAACUGCCAUUUUCUUCUUUUUGCCCUGUGUUCGUCAUGCACCUUACUUCCUGAUGAAGCUGGAGGCCUUUUGCAUCCUCAACGUCAAGCGUCAUCAACCCCCUAAACCGCCCAGAAGCCAAGGAUCCAAAAGCAUUCUCGGCAUCCUACGUCCACGUCUCCUCUCAUCUUCCUCCAGCCUCAGACUCUCCCACUCCACCCUACGACACGGUUAUGCUACUCUCUGGGGGCAGGCAGUCCGUGGAGAUUGGAUAUAGUUCCCUGGCAACUCUACUUGUAGUUUUUUGAGGAAGCUCCCUACUGUUUCCCACAGUGGCUGCACCAACUUACAUUCCCGUCAACAGUGGAAGAGGGUUCCCUUUUCUCUACACUCUUCCCAGCAUUUACUAUUUGUCGACUUUUUAAUGACGGCCAUUCUGACAGG
rnacentral:lncRNA from 1 species